UAGCGACUACUGUCCUGGAGCCUGGGAUAAACCUGGGCGCCCUACCGGGCGGGUUUCUGUAUUGAACAGCAAUAGUUUCCGGGCGAAAAAUGAGGGUACGGGCAGGUCUUGUUGGUUUUGAAAAUGCUCUUUUUUUCUUCAAGAUUCUUUCUUCCUGCAGGGCAGGUAAAAGGUGAAUGUUGCAGGUUUUUUAGCACAGAAAGUUAUUUGUGACUGAAGGGGCUUGAUGGUUUGCAAGAAAUUGUUCUGUGGCAUCCCUCUCACUUACUGAUCCUGUCCCCCCGUUGCCACAUGACCCGUGGAUUAUCACCGAGGUGUUUUGGUAUGGCAGCAGCCCAGAGCAUCUCCAGAGACUUUUGUCGCAAUGUCACAGCAAACCUAUUCAGCUCUUAAGAAAAGAGAGACCAUCCUCACAGAACGAUGCAACCGCACCUCAGGGCAGGAUAGUGCUGCUCCUGUAUCAUCCUGUUUGCUGAAGUCUUAAGAAACGAGGAUAACGGCACCUGAGAAUCUGUAAGUGCUCAACACAUGGAGACGUCCCCAUACAACGUUGUGAUUGACAGCGUGUGCCAUAAGCCUCUUCCAGCCAGCUCCUGCACGGUCCCAUAGCUGUCAUCUCAUCCUGUUUCCCAGUACUACCAUAUUUUGGACAUCCAAGACAUUUUAACUGUGGAAUGGAAAAAACAUCUGGACUAGAACAGCAUUGCAAGAGAUAAUCAAAUGCUGGUAAAGGUAAUAACAGAACAGCUGACACUCAUCAAAUGUAAAUUUACUAAAGGUAAUUAAAAGGAGAACAUUAAACUGAAAGAGGAGAGGCUGAUCACAGAAUAAUCACAUGAAAUAACUUUUAAUGGUCUGUUUUCCUCCAGAUUUGAGGAAUUGGCAUUGUGAAGGUUCAUGUCUGUCCUAAAUGUUCUGCUAUAGCUUGCACUUCAUUGCAUACUGCAUAUUCUAAUCUGCUCUCAAUCUGCAAUAUAUUUGUAUGAGUGCUUCAUACAGCAGGACUGUAGCCAGAUUUUUAACAGAAUGUAGCAUUUAAAGAUUAAACUAUUUUGUUACCUAAAAAUGUAGUGAAGUGCUUUGUGAGACUGACCCAGAAAACCUCUGCCUAUACUUCCCACUGAGAAAAACGAUACCCCUCCAAAAUAGUGUAAAAAAACAAGACAAUGACAAUAACAACAGAAGACAACCCCAGGCUAUUCCAAACAGCUGUAUAUGUGUGUAAAGAUGCACAUAUUGAAUAUUUUCAAGCUUCUAACCUGUGGAUCCUCAAGGAUAUAAAUACCUGAAGGGAGGAUGCAAAGAGGGCUGAGCCAAGCUGCUUUUGGUGGCGCCCAGUGACAGAACAAGAGGAGAUGAGCACAGGAGGUGAUGAAACGCAGGCAGUUCCCUCUGAACACCAGGAAACACUUUUUGCCUGUGAGGAUGACUGAGCACUGGCACAGGUUGCCCAGGGACCCUGUGGAGCUUCCCUCCUUCGAGAUAUUCAAAAGCUGUCUGGGCGUGGUCCUGGGCAACUGGAUCUGGGUGACCCUGCUUGAGCAGGGUGGUUGGACCAGAAGAGCUCUGGAGGUCCCUCCCAGCUUCAACCCUACUGUGAUUCUAUGAAGUUCAAAUUUUAGGAAUGUAUGCUUUUGGUUCUGGUGGUUCCCAUUUCAAUUUCAAGCCACACUCAAGGUUACUGAGUGAACAAAAAAGAACAGCUUGGAAGGAAGCCUACCAAUGCUCUUCCAUCCUGCUCUACAAUUGCAUCACCAAUUCUUGCAAGGUCCAGGACAGGUUAAAAAACUCCUAGACAAACAAGAAAUUAAUUUUCUACCUACUUGGACAGAUGCUUCACCAAAUAUUGGCAGAAAAACUCUUUUUGCCAAGUAACUUUCCAGAAUAACUGUAUUCUUUUAUCCUUCUAAUUGUUUGCUUAUGUGUAUCAGCACAAUAUAUCAUGGACAUGAAUUUUUCACUCCCUCUUAUCUUUUCUUCCUCAAAAAGAAAGCUAGACUCUUGAUCUCUGACACAGGUUCUGCAAUUUCUCUGUUCAGUUCUUUGCCAAAGGCUUCCUGUGUGACAUAGGUUAUGUUGCUUUAUUCAAGCAAUAAUCCACGAAGCUCCCAGUGGUUUCAAUGUAUCCAAGGAGUUUUAAGCUUUAACAUUUUUCUCGUUUCCUUAUUUGUGAAAUAUAGCUAAAAAUACUUUCCUUUGGCUGUCCUUUAUGCAGCUUCUCCAUCUAGAAAAUAAUCUCUUUGUGGUAGAUACAGUCUCCUGCUCUAUGUUUGAUGAUGUCUGUCACAACAGGUCAUUCAUCUUUGCUUGGAAGCCUCUAAGAACUAUCGUUGCUAUACAGCGGAAGUAGGGAGGAACUCCAUCUGCACCUCUGGGCUUUUUUAUAUGAAAGUUGGAAUAUUUCACCCAAAACUAAAGGAGAUCAAAACUUAAAUACUAUAUUUCUUUUGAGGGAAGAAAAAUCUGCACGUUUCAUCCUGAGGUUUGUGGGUCUGGGCAAGAGGUUACAUUUUUGAAAAAUAAAAGCUUAGGAAAAAAAUGGGCUAGCCUCAACAAAUAACAGUAAUACUAGAAAGUGUAAUAAUUAAUGAGAAUGACAGCUGAAAUGGCUCAUCCUAUUUUUGCAAUAUAGGCCCGCAAAAUUACAAACUAUCUCCAAAAACAGAUCUUGCACAUAACAGUGGAAUCUAACACUGCUACACAGCACUUUGUCACAAAUUCCAGGAGAAUGCUGUCUGCAUGUGCCCUAAUAUUUUGCACUGCUUGGUGAAAGCAAUUCCCUCAAUGAGCAAAGGAAAAAGAAAAUGAGCAGUGGGUCCCACAACUCAUCUCAAGUUCUGUCUGACUCUGUCUCAAGCUCUGUCAAGUGACUGUCUUCCAUUUCUUUUUCAUGAGGUCUUUGACAAGCGGCAGCAGUUAUAAGAUUUUCAUUUCCUGGAACAUUUCUUGCCAGGGUAAGAGCUAGGCAUUCUUUUUUGUCCUUCUGUUUCUUUUUUUUUUUUUUUAACUCCUUUCUUCCUUUUAAGAUAGGUGUGCAGUAUGUCUGGAGGAUAGAUUCAUGGCCUACUUUUCCUAAAUUGAACACUGAACUUUGUGUAUUUUCUGAUAUUUGGUAGGGAGUUCUUCCUAUUAGAAAUCUCCUUGGGCCACUGUGUGUUAGCCUUCCUGUGGCAGAACAGCAAUGGAAGGUGUAACUCAUACUGAGGAGGAAAUCCCAUCAUCAUCAUCUUUGAAGAGUAAGACGUUGUCGAGUGCCAGUGAACAGAUUUCCGUACCUCCAGUAAAUAAAUAAAAUCCAUAUUAAAACAAAGAGACCAUGUCCUUUGUCAUUCAUUUGCUGAAGGGAGUCCAUGUGCAUUGCUCAAUCAAGGCUAAAAAAGCAAAGUGUAGGCAGUAGAAUGUAUCAAAAACUGGGAGUUGUUGGAAAAGGUCAUGAGAAACUACUCCAUAUUAGAGAUGGCUAGGGCAAUUAGACACUGAGAUUAAUCAUUUAUGUAAGACUCACUAACCCUUCUUGCCUUCAGUAACAUUUCAUCACUCGUGAACCAAGGGGACAUCUAAUGGAGACCACAGCAUCCCAACAAUUUGUCUGUGCUGUUUAAGAACACCCCCCAACCAGAGCCGUCCAUCAGAUCACUGGACAGCAGCAGUGACAUUUCGGUAGACGUGUUUAAUUAUAUCAAUACAUCAAUAGUGCUGACAUUUCGAGGGGCUAUCACCUCAGGAUAAGCUAGCUCUAAAACUAAUCUCUUUUCUGUCCUUCUCCAUCUGCCCUGAAAAAUAAAGCUGCAUGAAUCAGAUUUUUAACCAGAGGUAGUACUUGGAGAGAGGUGCAGAGCUCAGAGAAGUCCAUUUGAGACCCAUAAGCAUCCAAUUCCCACUGCAAUCCUUGGUGGCCUGACAAUUCCUUUCAGAGACUGAUUUCAGCUGUAGUUCCCCAAAUACCUUCAGAAAUCACAGGGCAGAAAAAGAAACAGUGGUCCAAUAGUGCAAAAUGCUUGAAUUUGCUUUGAUUAUCUGGCAUUCAAAAGUCAACCCAAAUAAAUGGAGUUAGCACUGGCCAGGAAGAGGUGCCAAGGAAGAUGGGUUUGUCUCAGCACCCCAUGCGUGCCCUGACUGGUAACCCCAGACAGUGAGCAGCCCCAUGUAGCCACCACUGCAAAGCAGUGAGACUCAUACUCUGACUCAUGCACUGCUGCCAAUUCAAACUGGUGCCAGCAGCCAAAGCAAGAGGUAAAAUCUCUGUGUUCUGAAGAAUCAACAAAUGUGCUGUUAAAAACAAAAAGCAGGAGGUGUCUUAAGGAAAUAAUGCAAAAUCAAAAAAAAAGUCAAAGCAGCCUGCCAGGGAUUUGCAGAUGCUUUGCUCCAAACACACAGAAACUCAGAUAACCACAUUACACAGGAUGUAAAGGGGAGUCUGUCACUUCUCAUUGGCUAAUAAAAAACCUUUAGUUGUCUCAUUUAACAUUUUUACUCUUCUUCACAGCUUUUUUUCACAGCAUAAAGUAUCUCAGAAAGGAAAGAGAUUUCUUUGUCUCUCCUACUUGAAAGCAGGAGCUCGAAGGAAUUUGGGAGAGUCCAUUUACCCACAGGAUAACAGGAUCAGCAGGGUUCAACUGACAGCUGUAACAGAAAUGGAAAGAGAGGCAUGGAAAAAGGAGCACCAAAAAAGUUGUUUCUCAGCCACAGUGCAAACAGAAGCAGGACAGAGGUACUGCAGCCUGUGCCAGGGAGUGCAUCUCUUCCGUGAGGUCCAUAAAUGACUGAGGAUCUCUGGGUUACAGCAGGACACUGACCCCUCACUGCAAUGUCUUACAGCCUGAGGGACACAAGCACUGGAAGUGACGUUGCUUCGCAGUUUUUUCUUCUUGCUGCUUCUUGGUUGCUUGUCUUGAGUACCAGUGAUGAGCACAAACAGAGCAGAAGACAGAGCUCAAGAGCUCAGUUUUGUCCUCCACUCCUGUCUCCACCAGACCUGACUGCUGAACUUUCAUGUUGUGCCUUGCAAAACUUCCAUUAGACAUUUGAAACAAUAAUUUUAAACAUGAAAAUCAUAACAUUUCAAGUGAAGUAUAUUGAAGUAUAACUGUUCAACAAACACAAAGCUUCUUAUAUCAUCUUCUGCCAAACGUUGCUCAAGGCAGUGGGCAAUCCUUUAAUAACUAAAAUAAUUCCUUAAUAAAUAAAGCAAUCAGGCAAAAGCUAGGGGUUUAUAAAACCCCCUAUAUUAUAUUUAUAUUAUUCACUGUGGCAAACGGUCUCAUUUAAGGGAAUUGUUUUCCUCUGUUUAAGUUUAUAUUUAUAUAUUUACCAGAGGGUAAAUGUUUUCAAGACUACUCCCUAAAAACUGAGGGCAUAUUUCCUGUUUCUGGCCAUACAAAAAAAAAGAGGCUCUUCUGUGGUGUUCCGAGGGCAGUUCUCUCAAGCUGAGCCAUUGCUGGUAUGUUUUCCAAACAAUUCAACCAUACCAAUAAGCUACAACCUAGAAAUGGAUUAUGUUUUUAUUUAUUUGGGGGGAGAUGAAGAAAGUUAUUAUGUUUAGCCACUGAACCUGACUCAUGCUCACCUAAAUAUCUUCUCAGCCCCUGCCGCUGACUCAGUGAUCCCUGCAGGGGAGGCUGAGGCUGCUGCAACCAGACUGUGUAGAAACACACUCUGACAAUGAGAGUGCACUGCAGGCUUAUGCAAGCACUCAUAUAUCUACUUAAGCAUAAUGAAAAUGCUCUGAGGAUAACUUUCCUGCUGCCAUUUGUUGUUUUUAUGUUGCUUCUGUCCACGCUGGCUUCAUACCAAGUUCAACCAACAGUUUUCAAUCGUUUUGAAGUGUUCCUUAUGAAUCUAAAAAGUUGGGGGGAAAUAGCUACUAAUUUUCAUUCUUAUAGCAUCCAGGUCCAUGUUAUAAGUACAUUUCUGAAUACUUUUUGUAUCACCCUUGUGGCCUCUCAUUUAUUCUUUAUGGGGUUUUUUUUCAGAACCACAACUCACUGGCUGGAAUAUGAAAAUUGCUGAAGGGCAUUUUCCAUCACACUUAGGCAGCUGCACACAAAAUUGAUUGAAAAUUAACUUUCCAAGGAGAGUCCAGUUUAAUUCCUAAUUUGCUGAAAAGAAAGAAACACUGAAGACACUUUGGCCUUGAAGAACUUGGAAGGGUCUUGUAAGAGGACAAGAAAUUUUCUGACAAACCUCAUAGUAACCAACUUUUCUACGGCUUGUUCAGUGUGUGGAUAUUUAUUUUUUUAUCCUCUUCGAAAAGUGAACAGAAAUGUAUGAAAAUUAACACUUCUUUAAAAUUACAACUUAGAAAUCAGAAUUUUACUGGUGAGGACUUUUUACACAGAACAAUUUUGGUACUGUGUGUUUUGGCUAGUGAGAUAUACCCCGAGAAGUACCGUGAUUUGUUUGGUUGGUGUAGACAGUGACAAGUUUAGCUAGAAAGAAGGGAAGUAAAUUUGGGGAUUAAGUCCAAGGGAAUAGGGAGAAAUAUUGGACAGACUGCUUAUAGCAUGGGUUGGCCAUUAGAUCUCUCAAGAUGCUGAGGAUACUUCUUCACUUCUCUCUUCUUACUCUGCUCUCCCAGCUCCUGAUGUGAUGUCCUACAGAAGGACCUGCUUGUAUCUUGUGUGCCAAGAUGGAGACCUAACUGCUUUCUUUUCCCAGUGACUCUUCUCUUCAAGCCUCUAGAAAUGACUUCUGAAUUUAUAUCUGCCUCCAGAGAGAGAUCAUAACAUUUCCUUCUAACAUUUUUUAUUGCCUUAUUGCUAAUUUCCCUGAUCACUCUCUGAUCAAUUCUCUUAUUCUCUUUCAGCCAACUUGAGUGGCAUCUUCUGCCUUCCCUGAUUCUGUUGCAUGUCUUCCUACUUUGAUAUAAAGUACUGAAGUUUAGGAUGGAAGUUUGAUUUUUUUUUUCUCCAUAUCUUGUUUUCUAAUUUAUCCCAGGCUACAUCUAACAGAUUGAUCGUUGCUGUCAGGCAAGCAUCAAACAUCUUGUCUGUACUUUAUAUUGCGCUACUUGAUAAAUGCAGUGAUGACUUCUUCAGGUAUAAAGGUAGGUACUGCAUUCACACAGGACAUCUGUCUUUAUCUCAUGGGUUCAUGAGAUAUCAUGAGCAUUUAUCUCGUGGAUAUUAUGACUUCAUCGUUAGCUCCUCUCAUUCAAUUUUAUAUUUUGUGUCACGAUGUGCUUUGCAAACCCAAAGGGUUUGCCACUGACUUUGUUUUUUAUUCAGGAUGACUUAUGCUCUCAGUGUGUCUCUUAAAUUUUAGGGCAACACAGUGUUUAUCAUAGUGACUAAAUGAUUUAAAUCACUGUUGACACUGCCACUUUUACAUCGUUAUAAAUACUUUGGCUCCAAAGGAUUCAGGCUGUAUGAUGAACUCCAAUGAAUCUCUUCCUUAAUAUUGUCAGGGCUUGAAAUGGAAAAGUCUGCACUAAGGAAAAGACAGAAUUGUUAAGGUGUCAUACUUAUCUAUUUGAAAUAAAUGGUGAGUUUUUUAAUCUUUGCCGUCAGGAAUGAUAAACGAUUCUGCAGUUUCUUAUUAUAGUGCUGCACUGAAGCCCUCCUAGAAUACCUCUUCAGUUGUGCAGAAUUAUUAGGGUAGGCCAAUGAGGAGUAUUUUUAUGUGGAGAGUUAUAAUCCAUGGUAAAUAAAUCUGUGUUUACCCUGUCCUGAGUGUCGUGAGUCUCUGCAAGAGCAGAGGAAGAUUCUCACUGAAACCAAGACCACCUCAUAUUAUAUUGACAAGGAAGAGUGUUUAAAAGUAGAAUUGAAUUAUAUCUAAACUCCCUUUGAGUGGUGCUUUUUUUUUAAUAUUCUGAAACAGCUUAAGGUGGCUUCAGUGAACAGAUUCAAGGAAAUACUGUGUCAAUAAAAAUAAAUGCCAUUUUUCAUUUGU